rnacentral:rRNA from 1 species
CAGUCGCCACGGUAAUACGGAGGGGGCUAGCGUUGUUCGGAAUUACUGGGCGUAAAGCGCACGUAGGCGGCUUGGUAAGUUAGAGGUGAAAGCCCAGGGCUCAACCCUGGAAUUGCCUUUAAGACUGCCGAGCUAGUAGGUGAGAGAGGUAAGUGGAAUUCCGAGUGUAGAGGUGAAAUUCGUAGAUAUUCGGAAGAACACCAGUGGCGAAGGCGGCUUACUGGCUCAUUCUAGACGCUGAGGUGCGAAAGCGUGGGGAGCAAACAGGAUUAGAUACCCCAGUAGUCCCUGUCUCUUAUAC